UCCCCGAUCUCGACAUCCCUUUGACCCUUCUAGAGAUAGAAGUUUCCCCUUCGGGGGACACAGUGACAGGUGGUGCAUGGUUGUCGUCAGCUCGUGUCGUGAGAUGUUGGGUUAAGUCCCGCAACGAGCGCAACCCUUAAGCUUAGUUGCCAUCAUUAAGUUGGGCACUCUAAGUUGACUGCCGGUGACAAACCGGAGGAAGGUGGGGAUGACGUCAAAUCAUCAUGCCCCUUAUGAUUUGGGCUACACACGUGCUACAAUGGACAAUACAAAGGGCAGCGAAACCGCGAGGUCAAGCAAAUCCCAUAAAGUUGUUCUCAGUUCGGAUUGUAGUCUGCAACUCGACUACAUGAAGCUGGAAUCGCUAGUAAUCGUAGAUCAGCAUGCUACGGUGAAUACGUUCCCGGGUCUUGUACACACCGCCCGUCACACCACGAGAGUUUGUAACACCCGAAGCCGGUGGAGUAACCAUUGGAGCCAGCCGUCGAAGGUGGACAAAGUGGUC
rnacentral:rRNA from 1 species